rnacentral:rRNA from 1 species
UACGGGGGGGGCAAGCGUUGUUCGGAAUUACUGGGCGUAAAGGGCUCGUAGGCGGCCAACUAAGUCGGACGUGAAAUCCCCAGGCUCAACCUGGGAACUGCGUCCGAUACUGGAUGGCUUGAAUCCGGGAGAGGGAUGCAGAAUUCCAGGUGUAGCGGUGAAAUGCGUAGAUAUCUGGAGGAACACCGGUGGCGAAGGCGACAUCCUGGACCGGUAUUGACGCUGAGGCGCGAAAGCGUGGGGAGCAAACAGG